rnacentral:rRNA from 1 species
GAUGAACGCUGGCGGCGUGCCUAAUACAUGCCAGUCGAGCGAACAGACGAGGAGCUUGCUCCUCUGACGUUAGCGGCGGACGGGUGAGUAACACGUGGAUAACCUACCUAUAAGACUGGGAUAACUUCGGGAAACCGGAGCUAAUACCGGAUAACAUGUUGAACCGCAUGGUUCAACAGUGAAAGACGGUCUUGCUGUCACUUAUAGAUGGAUCCGCGUCGCAUUAGCUAGUUGGUAAGGUAACGGCUUACCAAGGCAACGAUGCGUAGCCGACCUGAGAGGGUGAUCGGCCACACUGGAACUGAGACACGGUCCAGACUCCUACGGGAGGCAGCAGUAGGGAAUCUUCCGCAAUGGGCGAAAGCCUGACGGAGCAACGCCGCGUGAGUGAAGAAGGUCUUCGGAUCGUAAAACUCUGUUAUUAGGGAAGAACAAAUGUGUAAGUAACUAUGCACGUCUUGACGGUACCUAAUCAGAAAGCCACGGCUAACUACGUG